rnacentral:rRNA from 1 species
UGCAAGUCGAACGAGGUGCUUUUGUAGCAAUACGGAAGUAUCCUAGUGGCGAACGGGUGAGUAACGCGUUGGUGACCUACCCCGAAGUGUGGGAUAACAGUCCGAAAGGAUUGCUAAUACCGCAUGUGGUCCCCGGGUUUAGAAACCGGUGACUAAAGCAGCAAUGCGCUUUGGGAGGGACCUGCGUCCCAUCAGCUAGUUGGUGAGGUAACGGCUCACCAAGGCGUCGACGGGUAAGGGACCUGAGAGGGUGGUCCCUCACAAUGGCACUGAAACACGGGCCAUACACCUACGGGUGGCAGCAGUAGGGAAUAUUGGGCAAUGGGCGAAAGCCUGACCCAGCAACGCCGCGUGUACGAUGAAGGCCUUCGGGUCGUAAAGUACUUUUCUGGGAGAUGAGAAAGGACAGUAUCCCAGGAAUAAGCUUCGGCUAACUACGUGCCAGCAGCCGCGGUAAAACGUAGGAAGCGAGCGUUAUCCGGAUUUACUGGGCGUAAAGCGCGUGUAGGCGGUUUGGCAAGUUGGAUGUGAAAUCUCCUGGCUCAACUGGGAGGGGUCGUUCAA